rnacentral:rRNA from 1 species
GACGAACGCUGGCGGCGUGCUUAACACAUGCAAGUCGAACGAAGAGCGAUGGAAGCUUGCUUCUAUCAAUCUUAGUGGCGAACGGGUGAGUAACGCGUAAUCAACCUGCCCUUCAGAGGGGGACAACAGUUGGAAACGACUGCUAAUACCGCAUACGAUCUAAUCUCGGCAUCGAGGAUAGAUGAAAGGUGGCCUCUACAUGUAAGCUAUCACUGCAGGAGGGGAUUGCGUCUGAUUAGCAAGUUGGAGGGGUAAAGGCCCACCAAGGCGAUGAUCAGUAGCCUGUCUGAGAGGAUGAACCGCCACAUUGGGACUGAGACACGGCCCAGACUCCUACGGGAGGCAGCAGUGGGGAAUCUUCCGCAAUGGACGAAAGUCUGACGGAGCAACGCCGCGUGAGUGAUGACGGCCUUCGGGUUGUAAAGCUCUGUUAAUCGGGACGAAAGGCCUUCUUGCGAAUAGUGAGAAGGAUUGACGGUACCGGAAUAGAAAGCCACGGCUAACUACGUG